rnacentral:rRNA from 1 species
GUGCCCAAGGGCGGAGGAAAGCGGCGGGAAACUGCCGGUAAUACUCCAUGGUGUUGUUGAAUGGCAUCAUUUGACAACUAAAGUACAAGCGCCCUUGGAUCGGUGUGCGUUCGAUUAGCUAGUUGGCGGGGUAACGGCCCACCAAGGCUUCGAUCGAUAGGGGGUGUGAGAGCAUGGCCCCCCACACGGGUACUGAGACACGGACCCGACUCCUACGGGAGGCAGCAGUAAGGAAUAUUGGACAAUGGGCGGAAGCCUGAUCCAGCCAUGCCGCGUGAAGGACGAAGGCGCUCAGCGUUGUAAACUUCUUUUGGGUGGGAACAAUAACCGAGACUUGUCUUGGCUUGAGGGUACCACCAGAAUAAGCACCGGCUAACUCCGUGCCAGCCGCCGCGGUAA